GAUGAACGCUGGCGGCGUGCCUAAUACAUGCAAGUCGAGCGAACAGACGAGGAGCUUGCUCCUCUGACGUUAGCGGCGCCGGGGGAGUAACACGUGGAUAACCUACCUAUAAGACUGGGAAAACUUCGGGAAACCGGAGGUAAUACCGGAUAAUAUAUUUAACCGCAUGGUUCAAUAGUGAAAGACGGUUUUGCUGUCACUUAUAGAUGGAUCCGCGCCGCAUUAGCUAGUUGGUAAGGUAACGGCUUACCAAGGCAACGAUGGGUAGCCGACCUGAGAGGGUGAUCGGCCACCCUGGAACUGAGACGCGGUCCAGACUCCUACGGGAGGCAGCAGUAGGGAAUCUUCCGCAAUGGGCGAAAGCCUGACGGAGCAGCGCCGCGUGAGUGAUGAAGGUCUUCGGAUCGUAAAACUCUGUUAUGAGGGAAGAACAAAUGUGUAAGUAACUGUGCACGUCUUGACGGUACCUAAUCAGAAAGCCACGGCUAACUACGUG
rnacentral:rRNA from 1 species